rnacentral:misc_RNA from 1 species
AAGUCGUAACAAGGUUUCCGUAGGUGAACCUGCGGAAGGAUCAUUAACACGUAUCCACGUUAUCAACCAACUGCGAACUUGUUUUCCAUCUCCCUGUGUUUUGUUUGUGGCAACACAAUCCGAAUCAGGCAAACCCUUUCAAUUAAACACCUAUUUCACCACCUUUUUGCUAGUUGACUUUUAUAUGUUGUUUGAUUCGACUUCGCGUCUGAUCUGACACACGUUUAUUAUUUGAACGUUAAAAUUACAACUCUUAGCAAUGGAUAUCUUGGUUCUC